GAAUGUUAAUUUUUCAUUUUUACCAAUAAGUCUGUGUAUAAUUGAAUAGAAUCACUUCAGUGAAAGAGAAUCAUCUUAAUAUUUAGGGAGAGGCAUGGAGACCCUGAAAGCCUAAGAAAGAGAUGGGGAUUGAUGUACUUGUGAGCAAGUCUGCAGCAGCUGACCCACAGUCAAAAGGCUUCCAUGCUGUAUUAGUCCAUUGUCACAGUGCUACAAAGAAAUAUCCAAGACUGGGUAAUAUAAAAAGGAAAAUGUUUCACUGACUCACAAUUCCUCAUUGCUGGAGAGGCCUCAGGAAACUUAUAAUCAUGGCAGAAGGCAAAGGAGAGACCUUCUUCACAGGGCGGCACAACAGGGUGAGUGCAAGCUGGGGAAAUGCCAGAUGCUUAUAAAACCAGCAAAUCUUGUGAGACUUACUAUCAUGAGAACAGCAUGGGGG
rnacentral:lncRNA from 1 species